rnacentral:lncRNA from 1 species
CUAGAAACGGCCCUGCAGAUAUGCUUUUGAUAUACGGCAGAGUACAGCCGUGGCUCGGUACAGACCAAGAGGGAACCAUGUGUGUGUGUGUGUGUGUGUCCUCGUUCAGACAUCUGACAGAGGAGCUUCCAUCCGGCGCGAUCAUUCACCUUGAUCGGCUGUUACCGUGGCAACCCCAAAUGCCGUCGGCUGUAGGUUAGUCGUGACGGGGUCGGUUGCCUCUGGUUACAGUUGCGUCUGUUAACAACACCGCCGUGGUUACCCGUAGUUACGGAUGAUUUGUAAUUUGGCCGGUGCCGCAUACAUAUAUAUAUAUAUAUAUAUAUCGUCCUGGUUGUAGCAGGGUUGUCAUGGAGAUACCUAGUCAGUUGUUAUGGUUGUCAUGGAGAUAGAGUAUGGAACCUCGGCUGUGAGGUUAGACUUUCACAUGGAGGGACAGGAGGAUACCUGGUCAGUUGUCAUGGAGAUAAUAAUGGGAACGGAGGAUACCUCGUCAGUUGUCAUGGAGAUACGGUAUUAUGGAACCUCGGCUAUGAGGUUAGACUUUCACAUGGAGGGACAGGAGGAUACCUAGUCAGUUGUCAUGGAGAUAAUAAUGGUGAAAGGAGGAUACCAAGUCAGUUGUCAUGGAGAUAAUAAUGGGAAAGGAGGAUACCUAGUCAGUUGUCAUGGAGAUAAUAAUGGGAAAGGAGGAUACCAAGUCAGUUGUCAUGGAGAUAAUAAUGGGAAAGGAGGGAUACCAAUCAGUUGUCAUGGAGAUAAUAAUGGGAAAGGAGGGAUACCUAGUCAGUUGUACAACUGAAUGAUGCAUUCAACUGAAAUAAGUCUUCCGCAUUUAACCCCCAACCCUUCUGAAUCAGCUUUAGCGUUUCGAGGGGGGGCUUUGGUCUGUUUUCCCUGAAGCUGGAGAGCCAGAGUUGGGGUUUUUACAGAGCUAGCCAGACUGACUACUAACUAGGGUUGAAACAUUUUCCGGGAAACUUUUCCUUAAUUCCCUGGUUGGAGGAUUCCCGAAUGUCCAGCUAAUUCCCGCCGUAAUUCCAGGGUUAGAAGUAUCCAGGAUUUCUGGAAAACCAGGGAAUUUUUGGGGGAAGUUACCCGGAAUUUUGCAACCUUAAGAAAAACACAUGGAGAAGGUUUAUUAAUGGGCAGUUAUAGAGGACAGGAGGUUUAUUAACGGGCAGUUAUAGAGGACAGGAGGUUUAUUAACGGGCAGUUAUAGAGGACAGGAGGUUUAUUAAUGGGCAGUUAUAGAGGACAGGAGGUUUAUUAAUGGGCAGUUAUAGAGGACAGGAGGUUUAAUAAUGGGCAGUUAUAGAGGACAGGAGGUUUAUUAAUGGGCAGUUAUAGAGGACAGGAAGUUUAAUAAUGGGCAGUUAUAGAGGACAGGAGGUUUAUUAAUGGGCAGUUAUAGAGGACAGGAGGUUUAAUAAUGGGCAGUUAUAGAGGACAGGAGGUUUAUUAAUGGGCAGUUAUAGAGGACAGGAGGUUUAUUAAUGGGCAGUUAUAGAGGACAGGAGGUUUAUUAAUGGGCAGUAGUAUAGGACAGGGGGUUUAUUAACGGGCAGUUAUAGAGGACAGGAGGUUAUAGAGGACAGGAGGUUUAAUAAUGGGCAGUUAUAGAGGACAGGAGGUUUAUUAAUGGGCAGUUAUAGAGGACAGGAGGUUUAUUAAUGGGCAGUAGUAUAGAGGACAGGAGGUUUAUUAAUGGGCAGUUAUAGAGGACAGGAGGUUUAUUAAUGGGCAGUUAUAGAGGACAGGAGGUUUAAUAAUGGGCAGUUAUAGAGGACAGGAGGUUAGAGGACAGGAGGUUUAAUAAUGGGCAGUUAUAGCGGACAGGAGGUUUAUUAAUGGGCAGUGUAUAGAGGACAGGAGGUUUAUUAAUGGGCAGUAGUAUAGAGGACAGGAGGUUUAUUAAUGGGCAGUUAUAGAGGACAGGAGGUUUAUUAAUGGGCAGUUAUAGAGGACAGGAGGUUUAUUAAUGGGCAGUUAUAGAGGACAGGAGGUUUAUUCAUGGGC